CGCGAAAACUCCAACUGUACGGAAGUACGAUGGGGUUAUCUCGAGUGCAGUCCGAUAAGGGCUGCUUUUCCAUAAAGUAAUAUCCUGUGGGAAUAAGAGGGGGGCAAGACUGGUGUCAGCCGCCGCGGUAACACCAGCCCCUCGAGUGGUAGGGACUUUUAUUUGGCCUAAAGCGUCCGUAGCUGGCUGUAUCCGUUUCCCGGCAAAUCCGGCGUCUUAAGCGUCGGGCUUCGGGUAAUACCAUACAGCUUGAGGGUGGGAUAGGUGAGCGGUAUUUCUGGGGUAGGGGCGAAAUCCUUUGAUCCCAGGAGGACCACCAGUGGCGAAGGCUGCUCACUAGGACACGCCUGACGGUCAGGGACGAAAGCUGGGGCAGCGAACCGGAUUAGAUACCCGGGUAGUCCCAGCUGUAAACGAUGCUGCUAGGUGUUGGGUCGGCCACGCGCCGCCCCAGUGCCGCAGGGAAGCCGUUAAGCUAGCCGCCUGGGGAGUACGGCCGCAAGGCUGAAACUUAAAGGAAUUGGCGGGGGAGCA
rnacentral:rRNA from 1 species